rnacentral:rRNA from 1 species
CCUACGGGUGGCAGCAGUCGAGAAUCAUUCACAAUGGGGGAAACCCUGAUGGUGCGACGCCGCGUGGGUGAAUGAAGGUCUUCGGAUUUUAAACCCUUGUCAUGUGGGAGCAAAUUAAAAAGAUAGUACCACAAGAGGAAGAGACGGCCAACCCUGUGCCAGCAGCCGCGGUAAUACAGAGGUCUCAAGCGUUGUUCGGAGUCACUGGGCGUAAAGCGUGCGUAGGCGGUUUCGUAAGUCGUGUGUGAAAGGCGCGGGCUCAACCCGCGGACGGCAUAUGAUACUGCGAGACUAGAGUAAAGGAGGGGGAACCGGAAUUCUCGGUGUAGCAGUGAAAUGCGUAGAUAUCGGGAGGAACACUAGUGGCGAAGGCGGGUUCCUGGACAUUAACUGACGCUGAGGCACGAAGGCCAGGGGAGCGAAAGGGAUUAGAUACCCUUGUAGUC